GAGGAAUAUUGGUCAAUGGGCGAGAGCCUGAACCAGCCAAGUAGCGUGCAGGAAGACGGCCCUAUGGGUUGUAAACUGCUUUUGUAUGGGGAUAAAGUCAAUCACGUGUGAUUGUUUGCAGGUACCAUACGAAUAAGGACCGGCUAAUUCCGUGCCAGCAGCCGCGGUAAUACGGAAGGUCCGGGCGUUAUCCGGAUUUAUUGGGUUUAAAGGGAGCGUAGGCUGGAGAUUAAGUGUGUUGUGAAAUGUAGACGCUCAACGUCUGACUUGCAGCGCAUACUGGUUUCCUUGAGUACGCACAACGUUGGCGGAAUUCGUCGUGUAGCGGUGAAAUGCUUAGAUAUGACGAAGAACUCCGAUUGCGAAGGCAGCUUACGGGAGCACAACUGACGCUGAAGCUCGAAGGUGCGGGUAUCAAACAGGAUUAGAUACCCUGGUAGUCCGCACAGUAAACGAUGGAUGCCCGUUGUUAGUUCACUUAAGAAUUAGCGACCAAGCGAAAGCAUUAAGCAUCCCACCUGGGGAGUACGCCGGCAACGGUG
rnacentral:rRNA from 1 species